UGUUUUUUAAAAAAAAUUCUUUUUAACUAUGUAGCCAGAACAGGUUAACUGCACUGCUGGUUAGCUGUUGCUUUUGCCACUAACCUUGAUUUGAGUGGAGAACCAUACUAUUUGUAAAAUGCUGUGUUUAUCUUCUUAAACUACACGCUUCAACUCUGUUUUCUGGUACCAUAGGUUUGUUAGAUCCUGCCUCGGAAAUUAAAGAAACUUGCAUGUACUUUAUGCUUUACAUUGUACAACAAAAAGAACCCAGUGUCAGCCUCUAACUUUAGGUACAGUUCCACGACAUUUAUGCUAUUUAAAUACAAAGCUGCUCUAGUUAAAUCUUCUAAAAUAAGCUUAACUGGGUUGUUGCAAGACUUCUCCCAUAAAACCUAAACCACAUGGAAUGUCCUUUUAAUACCUAACGUUCCAUGAUAGUUGGUUAGAUCACACACGUAAUUUUUUCGAUAUGAAGGGCAGUAAAAAGCAUGAAACAACUGAUUUUAGAAGGUUAAGGUUGGUGAGUAUUAGGAAUUACCUUAUUAUGGGUAAGUGUAAAAAUGCAGAGAAUGUUCUGAAGGGAUUUAAAGAAAUUCAACGUAUCUUUCACUUUCAAAAUGAACUAUACCUCCUUUAAGUUUUCCUAUCAACCUAAUCUGGUUUAAAAAAAACAAAACACCACCACUUGGAAAGGUUAAAAUAAUCACAAUGGACUGUGUAUAGUACAAAACUGGAAAGUUACCCUUUUUUUUGUCAUUCAUUAGUUAAAAUUGCUAUUUAGGUUCAGACAAGACCAGCCUAAACUAGUUAUUUACAGAAAACCCUUGUAAAUACUAAUUACGGUUCUGUGUGUAGGAUUUUAUUUUUUUUAAUGGGAAGGUCAACCAAGUUCUUAAUUUUCCACAAAUUCAGGAUCUUCCUAGUUCUUCCCAUCCUUCCUGUCUUCAAAGUUUUAUUUGAUAUCAAUGAAGGAGUGAGUGCAUUUAUCCCAACAUACUCUUCUGCAGAAAGAAAGCAGGCAAAGUUUCUUGGUAAUACAAAGGUGAGGUACCUGUGUCUUCCCACUCUAGUAAAACUACUCCAAAUCUUUUGGUAAUCUGGAAUAAUCAUUAAACCAGCUGUCUCAAAUGUUUGCUUAGGAAGCUUCUACUUGCCCAGCUUGCUCGACAGUCCUGUGUCUGCCAUUGUGGAGUUGGAAGAAUAUCGUGACUGUGUACCUUUGCCCAGCUCCCAUUUCUGUGAGAAUUGAGGAGGAGGAAGGACAGGGAGAGUGACAGCUGAAUGCCUUGGAGGGACAAAAAGCAAGUCUAGAUAUAGGGAGAUCCUGAGUUCUAAUGUUGACUGUCACUGGGUUGCUUUGUGGCCUUGAGUGAAGCAUUGAUUUCAGUUUCUUCUUAUCUCAGCCUUUUCCGUCAAAAAAGGCAAGGAAUUAGAAUUAAAAUUGCUUUAAAUUAUUUUUAGAAAAUGAGAGGCAAGCUUCUGCUUGGCCUUUUCCUUAAUAUUAAGAAUAUGUCAGGAAAUAUGUAUGUCAGAGCUUUAGUUGCUAAUAAAACAUAGGGAGUUUGGUACGUAGGCUACUGCAAUGUGUGUUGCUGCCAAGAGAUAGCUUUGCUGAAAGCUAUCUGGGAAGUAUGUGAUGUAUUAAUUUUAUCAUUUCAUGAGGUGUGAACAUCUCAGGCACUGAGAGUCAGUUGAUUCCCAAAGGCACUCAAAAAAGCCUGUCUUUUAAAAAAGGAGCUUGUAGGCUUACAAGCUUUUUUCUUACUAAAACUUUAAUAACUUACAGCUGUCUGAAGAGUUUACAGUCUAUCUGGUGAGGUGCAUUCAGGUAGUUAUUUUUACCCAAUUGUCAGAAAUGCAGAAGAUUUUUUUCGAUUCUUUGUUUGAAGCAGUUACUAAUAUCUUUGGAGUUCAGCAUUGGUAGACAAAAAUGUGUUAGGCAGAGUAUUUGCCCUGGUCCUGAGGAAGGUGUGGGAGCUGCACAGUGCUUUCGUGGGAGCAGUUCUUGUGCUAGUUUUCCUCAUAUGACUUCUAGGGAACUGAAAACAGAAUUCCAGUGGUCUCGUGUCUCAUGAGCUGUGUUGGAUGGUGAUGUCCAUGAACGCAGUGGCAGGAGGAAGGAGUGAUGGGUGUCCCAACAGUUCAGCCUUUCAUCGGCCACGAGGUGGCUGCUUCUUGCUUUUUGCAGGUCCUGCAGCACAGACCAGGCCACGUGUGUGCUUGUAACGCCUUGGUGCAGUAAGGUAGUGUCUGAUUAGGAAGCAGUGCAGGCUAACAGGAGAUUACAAGCUCGAUUUUUUUUUUUUUUUUUUUUUUUUAAGCCUCCACGUGCUUUUUGGAGGGGAAUGUUGCUUUGAGUUAGCUCUGGUGUGGACAGAACGUCUGUUCCUGACCGAAUUGAAGCUGGAAUAUGCCAACUACGUGCUUUCAUUUGAAAGAGAUUAAUUUCCUAUGCUGCAAGACUGUUGUACUAUGCGAAUGAAAGCCCGAUAUGUGAGGAAUAUCUGGUAUUUACUUCAAAACUAUGCUUCUGUUUGAAAAUACAAGCUUCUCUUUGAACUAAAAUACUAAUAUAGAUAUACUUUACCAAUGGCUCUGGUAAUUUGUAAUGGAAUCAGGCACUUGUGACUGUUAGAUCAUAAUUGCCAGUAAAAUGCUGUGGCUUUUUUUCUGUCUACUUUGUAUGUUGCAAACCCUGAGAAGCUCAAACUGUUCUUUGUCCUGGGAAAAAAUUACUGUUUAGGUUACUACUGAGAUUAAGACCCAGAGUUUAAAAACUAAGCUAAAAAACCCAUCGCGGUUCAAAGCAGUUACAGAAACGGAUGAGAAACUGAACAAAUAGUUCUGUAUUAUAGCUUGUUUUCUCUGAAAUGAAGAAAAUAAGCAUAUGACUAGAACUGGGCUACAGGACUGUGUGAUGUGUAGAUGAUGGGUAUGUUCAUUGGCAGGCCCAGAUGAUAAUAGUUUCACUAAGUCCAGUGUCUUGCUUCAGCACUCUUUUAUGUUUCAGGAAAAGUUGGCCUACUCGCACACAAACCCAGCAGUUCUGCGUAAGGGGUGUUGAACCGAUUGUGUCUCAAAGCAGAACAUUUUAUUACUGUAAGCAUGAAUAACUACAAAGGUAGUAGCAGCCAUACAGUUAACAGUAUGUGGUUUGUUCUGAAAAAUGUUCAUGAUCUGAAGUACUUUCUUCUAUUUCUGCAUGCACUGGUGAAUUUAUUUAAUCCUUUCUUAGAGGCUUUACUGAGUGGGAGAUAUUUUUUUCACAGGACUUUCAAUAGUUCCUCCGGCUCCCUCUACUCCUGGAGGGAAGACAGUGGCAGAGUUGAGUUGGUGCAGUACUGCUGUCUCGCUUCCUUUCCCUCUUCCCAAAUGCAUGCAAUAUUCAGUAUUUUUGAGAAACUGGUUUAGUUUCUGCAAUUUUUCUGGCCAGACUCCUGAUGUGCAGUGAAGCCUCACUUCUUUCUUCCUCCUCAAUAGAAUUGCUAUGAAGAGAGAUAAGGAAGUUGGUAAUUUUUCCAUCUAUGCAAUCUGGGGAGCAGAAAAUUCCUAGUAGAGUCUGAUACUUUCCAGUUGGUUAUUGCAUGUCUUGCUUGUAUCACUUUCCUGCUGUCUUUGAGGAGCCCUGAAGUUCUGACAGCCCUCUUGGGUUCUUCCUCGACUUCCUUAUUCAAAACUUUGUCUGGGAUCAGGAUCUUGGAUUACGUUUUCUUCAUUUGUAGCCCUGGUAUUAAUUAUGAAAGACAUCUUUCGUAAGUAUUUUGAACAUAAGUUUAAGGUAGAGUCGGAAUGCAAGGUAGAGUUGGAAUGCAUCACCCACGGGAUUUUUUCAUUCAAAUACAGAAGUGAUUAUCAGACUAUGAGAGGACACAACUGAAGAUCUGGUUUCCAUGGAAGUCCCUUCGUUUGUAAUAGCUGGAAUAGCAGAGGGUUCUACAAACAGCUUGUUAAGUGCUUGUGUGGAGGAGUGGGUAUGGGGAGUGAGAAACUCGAUUGCCUCUGUUAUUUGUGCAUUAGGACCGUUCUCAUGUGAAAUUCAUUAUUACUUAUCUUCAAACUGAACUCCCACAGAUCCACUAAACAAAAGUAUGUCUUGGUGCUUCUGAGCACCGUCCUUUCAAAACGUCUCCAGUCGUCUUAAGUUCUUGACAGUGGUAUUCCUGUAGCUCUGGGAUGGCUGCCCUACAGCAGCAAGUGUUGUGGGUCUGCCCUACUGGCAGAAAAUACCAGUUCUUUAUUCAGAAAAAUAGGGAUGCAAGAGUGAAUGAGUUGCCAUAAUCCAAAAUAAUGUGGAUUAUAGACUUGUAAGUCCCCCACAAUCUAUGAUUUAUAAUUCCCCUCAAAUACUUAAAAUUUUCUUGAGCAGAAAGGUAGAGUGCAUAAAAGCAGGAAAAUACUUUUAUCAUUUCAGAUCUGAAUUCAUACUGAAAGUUUGAGUCUGAACAGUUACAGUAUUUAUUGAACUCUAGAAUGCCAGCAGAUCUGCCUGUAAGCACGUUGGAGGGUGGCACCAGAAGCAGUCAUUCUGACUAGAUGUGCCUUAACUUGAUCUUGAAAUUACAGGCACAUUAAGGAAUAGUAAUGAGAUGCAGUCUGGCAGGCAUACUUCCCUUAAAGAGACAUUGUCUUGAUGCAUGGAUGUGAAAAUGGGAGAGAGAUUUUAAAUCCUGGCUUUUCACCAUGCCAUAUGGAGCUUUUUUUUCCUCUUUCCCAAAUGAAAACAAGGAAUCUUUAAGAGCACUUGAAGCGAGAUCUUGCUGCAGUGGGUGUACUGCCCUGGAAAUCGUUGGCUGGAUGGUUAAGGUGGAAAGCAACACUUCCUUCAGCAAGAGUCCCGGGUGUGUGGACCAGAUAAGUGAUUCUAUGGGAAACUGGCAAGAGAAUACAAAAGUGUUUUUUCCAAAAUCUUUGAACACCUUCUGUAAGGAACAAGGUUGGACUGUCGGCAAUUACCAUGAUCCUUGUCUUCAUCCAAGCUUUGAAUCCAGUGGACUAUUGAAUAGGCAAAUAAAACCGGCUUGUUCAGGAAGAUGAAACAAAGUAUCUGACUGAAUUUCUAAUUU